rnacentral:sRNA from 1 species
GCCAGGUGUGGUGGCGCACACCUGUAAUCCCAGCAGCUCAGGAGGCUGAGGCAGGAGGAUCGCAAGUUCAAAGCCAGCCUCAGCAAUUUAGCAAGGCGCUAAGUAACUCAGUGAGACCCUGUCUCUA